rnacentral:rRNA from 1 species
UACGGAGGGGGCUAGCGUUGUUCGGAAUUACUGGGCGUAAAGCGCACGUAGGCGGCUUUGCAAGUCAGAGGUGAAAGCCCGGGGCUCAACCCCGGAAUUGCCUUUGAGACUGCAGGGCUAGCAGGUGAGAGAGGUGAGUGGAAUUCCGAGUGUAGAGGUGAAAUUCGUAGAUAUUCGGAAGAACACCAGUGGCGAAGGCGGCUCACUGGCUCAUACUGGACGCUGAGGUGCGAAAGCGUGGGGAGCAAAC